rnacentral:rRNA from 1 species
AGUGAACGCUGGCGGUAGGCCUAACACAUGCAAGUCGAACGGCAGCACAGUAAGAGCUUGCUCUUACGGGUGGCGAGUGGCGGACGGGUGAGGAAUACAUCGGAAUCUACUUUUUCGUGGGGGAUAACGUAGGGAAACUUACGCUAAUACCGCAUACGACCUACGGGUGAAAGCAGGGGAUCUUCGGACCCUGCGCGAUUGAAUGAGCCGAUGUCGGAUUAGCUAGUUGGCGGGGUAAAGGCCCACCAAGGCGACGAUCCGUAGCUGGUCUGAGAGGAUGAUCAGCCACACUGGGACUGAGACACGGUCCAGACUCCUACGGGAGGCAGCAGUGGGGAAUAUUGGACAAUGGGCGCAAGCCUGAUCCAGCCAUACCGCGUGGGUGAAGAAGGCCUUCGGGUUGUAAAGCCCUUUUGUUGGGAAAGAAAAGCAGCAGGUUAAUACCCCGCUGUUCUGACGGUACCCAAAGAAUAAGCACCGGCUAACUUCGUG